AACGAACGCUGGCGGCAUGCCUAAUACAUGCAAGUCGAACGAGAUCUUCGGAUCUAGUGGCGCACGGGUGCGUAACGCGUGGGAAUCUGCCCUUGGGUUUGGAAUAACAUCGGGAAACUGAUGCUAAUACCGGAUGAUGACGUAAGUCCAAAGAUUUAUCGCCCAGGGAUGAGCCCGCGUGAGAUUAGCUUGUUGGUGGGGUAAAGGCCUACCAAGGCGAAGAUCUCUAGCUGGUCUGAGAGGAUGAUCAGCCACACUGGGGCUGGGACACGGCCCAGACUCCUACGGGAGGCAGUAGUAGGGAAUAUUGGACAAUGGGGGCAACCCUGAUCCAGCAAUGCCGCGUGAGUGAUGAAGGCCUUAGGGUUGUAAAGCUCUUUUACCCGAGAUGAUAAUGACAGUAUCGGGAGAAUAAGCCCCGGCUAACUCCGUGCCAGCAGCCGCAGUAAGAC
rnacentral:rRNA from 1 species